GGGGUUGUGGCUCAGCGUGGUAGAGUGCUCACCUGGCAUGUGCGAGGCCUUGGGUUCAAUCCUCAGCACCACA
rnacentral:tRNA from 1 species